AGAGAACCAUGGUGGUUUGGUUACUUGGAAAUGUGUCCAAUUUCCGCGGAUUGUUGUGCUUUCCGACAAGUUGGAAGAAUCUGUUCCCGGGAACCCUUGACCAAAACGACACACAGCACACAGGUAGGCCCAGGAUCCUGCCCCGCCCACUUCUAAUAACUCGCCCAAUCCACCACGCACGAACCAGCGCCCCACACCACACCCUAGAAGUCCAUCCUCCCUCCCCGAUGGCCCUAGAAACAAGGCACAGAACAACCGAGCCCCGACGGACCUAGAAACGAGCAACGCCACCUCAGGCAGGCAGCCCUCGCCGGAACCCUAAGCCCCCGACCGCCCCGUCGCCACGAACCUCCGAAAUGUUGCUUCUCGUACCAAUUGGGGGGAAACCCGUAACAGGGAGGGGAGAUACCUCGCGGGGCCGCGGACGGGCGGCUCGUCGGUGGGGGAGCGUCAGGCCGGGAUCGCGGCUCCUUCUUCUUCCCCAAGCCCCUCCUCCACGCUCACAUUGCGCCGGCGCGCCUCCGCGAUUCCGAUUCCAACAUCUCGUCCUCCUGCUGCUCCUCCUCCCGCUCCCUCCUUCCUUUCCCCUCCGGUUUGAUGCUGCGGAAAGGGGCCAAAAGCCGCGGAGCCUGUCAUAACACGGGUCGGAAAAAAAGGUUGAGAAGGGAUAUUUAAUGCGUAGUAUUAGUGAGUUGAUCACGACGCUUUGUGGCGUUCGGGCGUCGCGGGCCACGUCCGCCCGCGCGAUCUGCGCCGUUGGUGGAGCGACGGACGGGCGGGAUCGGGUGGUCUCGG
rnacentral:lncRNA from 1 species